rnacentral:rRNA from 1 species
UACGUAGGGGGCAAGCGUUAUCCGGAUUUACUGGGUGUAAAGGGAGCGUAGACGGCGAUGCAAGUCUGAAGUGAAAGCCCGGGGCUCAACCCCGGGACUGCUUUGGAAACUGUAUGGCUGGAGUGCUGGAGAGGCAAGCGGAAUUCCUAGUGUAGCGGUGAAAUGCGUAGAUAUUAGGAAGAACACCAGUGGCGAAGGCGGCUUGCUGGACAGUAACUGACGUUGAGGCUCGAAAGCGUGGGGAGCAGACAGG